rnacentral:ncRNA from 1 species
GUUGCUGUAAUAGUAAGCCAGCUCAGAACAAGAGAAACCACAGGUUCGGACAUGUGGUGUCUGUGCUUGGCGGAGAAGCCAAAGGUGUGAAGCAGCCAUCUGUGGGAUUGACUGAACUCCGCUUAGUCAGAGGCUCCCUAAGGUCCUCAAACAGGGAU